rfam:Nematostella vectensis strain CH2 x CH6 NEMVEscaffold_470_Cont28097, whole genome shotgun sequence.
AACCCAGGGGUAUUUUCCUCUAAAGUUUCACCCGCGAGAAAAUUUAUUCUCGUGAGUGAAACGUUAGAGGAAAAUACCUCUGGGUU